AAACCUCAACUCUCAUGGUUUGCCGUGAUGAGCUUGGACUUUGGGGGUCUUGCUGGCCUACGGUCGGCUCCUCUCAAACGAAUCAGCUUGCCAGUGUUUGGUGGCAUCACAGGUGUGAUAACUAUCUACGCUUGUGGUUUCUCACCAGGUAACCUUCAGCAAUGGAGGUUCGCUGGAGCUCACAAAUGUCCCUCCUCAGCGAGGACCUUUGAAC
rnacentral:misc_RNA from 1 species